rnacentral:rRNA from 1 species
AUUGAACGCUGGCGGCAGGCCUAACACAUGCAAGUCGAGCGGAGCGGCGGACGGGUGAGUAAUGCCUAGGAAUGUGCCUGGUAGAGGGGGAUAACGUCCGGCAAGGGGCGCUAAUACCGCAUACUAUCAGAUGAGCCUAGGUCGGAUUAGCUAGUUGGUGGGGUAAAGGCCUACCAAGGCGACGAUCCGUAACUGGUCUGAGAGGAUGAUCAGUCACACUGGAACUGAGACACGGUCCAGACUCCUACGGGAGGCAGCAGUGGGGAAUAUUGGACAAUGGGCGAAAGCCUGAUGCAGCCAUGCCGCGUGUGUGAAGAAGGCCUUCGGAUUGUAAAGCACUUUAAGUUGGGAGGCGUUACCAACAGAAUAAGCACCGGCUAACUUCGUGCCAGCAGCCGCGGUAAUUC